UACGGAGGGUGCAAGCAUUGAUCGGAAUUACUGGGCGUAAAGGGCGCGCAGGCGGUCAGGAAAGUCAGAUGUGAAAUUCCGGGGCUCAACUCCGGAGCUGCAUUUGAAACUUCCUGGCUAGAGUACAGUUAGGGUAAACGGAAUUCCACGUGUAGCGGUGAAAUGCGUAGAUAUGUGGAAGAACACCGGUGGUGAAGACGGUUUACUGGGCUGAAACUGACGCUGAGGCGCGAAAGCUAGGGGAGCAAACAGG
rnacentral:rRNA from 1 species